CAAGCCUGGAAUUGACAGCUACUGUGCAAACAAAAAAAGGCAACAAGCAUGCUGGGACCAUUCUGUCUGCAGCUUGGGUCUCACUUGUCCUGAAAACUAAAAAUCAUCAGUGGAAAGCAAACACUGCUUCAGGGGAACACUGCUCACGGGGAACACCCAACAGCUGAGAUAUCCUUCCAAACCUCCAGUUCCAUCUAUGAGAGCUUGGACAGCUCUCUUGAACUUCUGCAUUUCCUACCAGUCUCCAUAUGGCUUCUUCUUUAUUACCUAGCUCUUUUUGUGAUGCCAUGUGAGAAUUAAGAUGAGGGGAAGUGGAACAAGAAAUACUGAUGCUCUAACUCUGCAAUGACUCCAAAGGCCACCAUCAACUUCAUGGAGAAGCGCAAAGCUGAAGGAACAAGAACGCAUGUGUUCCUUUGUAUCAUAUAGAGACCAGGAUGUUCACAAUUGGAACUCAUCAUUAUUGAAAAUGUGAAGGCUGGAAGAAGGGACAAAAUGUUUUUCCAAAACUGCCAUAAAGGAUCAUCUGAGGCAACUGCCCAGCAGGCGAUCAGAAGUGUGGAUCUGGAGCUCCUUGGAAGAAGGCUGGGUGUGUGUCUCAUCUUCUGUGUAUCCCCUGAGCCCAGCACCUGGCCCUGGCUCUGUAGCUAUUCAUUCCAGGUCUUCGAUGAUGGUUGUGAUUAUGGCACUGAUGGGGAU